GAGGGAUGAGAUACUAGAUGACGAGUCUGAGCUCGUGUGCGAGAGUUUCUCUCGUACAUGCCGGUGACGACUCUUUCUAAAAUACCAUUCAUGCUUUCCUGAUU
rnacentral:snoRNA from 1 species